UCUGGUUGAUCCUGCCUGAACUGAUGUGUUCAUUUCAAAGAUUAAGCCAUGCAUGUAUAAGUUUAAUCGUUUUAACGAGAAACCGCGAACGGCUCAUUACAAUGGCCAUGAUUUACUUGAUCUUGAUUAUCUAAAUGGAUAACUGUGGAAAAGCUAGAGCUAAUACAUGCACCAAAGCUUUGUCCUCUUGGAAAAGCGCAUUUAUUAGAACAAAACCACGCGGCUAUGGCUGCUUCUUGUUGACUCAGAAUAACUAAGCUGACCGCAUGGCCUUGUGCCGGCGGCGUGUCUUUCAAGCGUCCACUUUAUCAACUUGACGGGAGCAUAAUCGACUCCCGUGGUGGUGACGGAUAACGGAGGAUCAGGGUUCGACUCCGGAGAAGGGGCCUGAGAAAUGGCCACUACGUCUAAGGAUGGCAGCAGGCGCGCAAAUUACCCACUCUCGGCUCGAGGAGGUAGUGACGAGAAAUAGCGAGAUCGUUCUCUUUGAGGCCGGUCAUCGGAAUGGGUACAAUUUAAACCCUUUAACGAGUAUCAAGCAGAGGGCAAGUCUGGUGCCAGCAGCCGCGGUAAUUCCAGCUCUGCUAAUACAUAGAAUUAUUGCUGCGGUUAAAAAGCUCGUAGUUGGAUUCGUAUCGGUACCCUGGAACCCUGCGGGUGUUUCUGGGUGUUAUCGAUUUAUCGUAAUGUUCGGUUUUGAGUCCUUAACAGGAUUCUUAACAGGCAUUGCAAGUUUACUUUGAACAAAUCAGAGUGCUUCAAACAGGCGUUUUUGCUUGAAUGAUCGUGCAUGGAAUAAUAGAAAACGAUUUCGGUUCAGUUUUAUUGGUUUUACGGACUGAGAUAAUGGUUAACAGAGACAAACGGGGGCAUUUGUAUGGCCCCGUGAGAGGUGAAAUUCUUGGACCGUGGCCAGACAAACUACAGCGAAAGCAUUUGCCAAGAAUGUCUUCAUUAAUCAAGAACGAAAGUCAGAGGUUCGAAGGCGAUCAGAUACCGCCCUAGUUCUGACCGUAAACGAUGCCAACUAGCGAUCCGCCGAUGGAAAUUAUAUUGCCUUGGUGGGGAGCUUCCCGGAAACGAAAGUCUUCCGGUUCCGGGGGAAGUAUGGUUGCAAAGCUGAAACUUAAAGGAAUUGACGGAAGGGCACCACCAGGAGUGGAGCAUGCGGCUUAAUUUGACUCAACACGGGGAAACUCACCCGGCCCGGACACUGUGAGGAU
rnacentral:rRNA from 1 species